CCUACGGGAGGCAGCAGUGGGGAAUAUUGCACAAUGGGGGAAACCCUGAUGCAGCGACGCCGCGUGAGCGAUGAAGUAUUUCGGUAUGUAAAGCUCUAUCAGCAGGGAAGAAAAUGACGGUACCUGACUAAGAAGCCCCGGCUAACUACGUGCCAGCAGCCGCGGUAAUACGUAGGGGGCAAGCGUUAUCCGGAUUUACUGGGUGGAAAGGGAGCGUAGACGGUCCUGCAAGCCAGAUGUGAAAGCCCGGGGCUCAACCCCGGGACUGCAUUUGGAACUGUAAGGCUAGAGUGUCGGAGAGGCAGGCGGAAUUCCUAGUGUAGCGGUGAAAUGCGUAGAUAUUAGGAGGAACACCAGUAGCGAAGGCGGCCUGCUGGACGAUGACUGACGUUGAGGCUCGAAAGCGUGGGGAGCAAACAGGAUUAGAUACCCUUGUAGUC
rnacentral:rRNA from 1 species